rnacentral:rRNA from 1 species
UACGUAGGGUGCAAGCGUUGUCCGGAAUUAUUGGGCGUAAAGAGCUCGUAGGCGGUCUGUCGCGUCUGCUGUGAAAACUCAGGGCUUAACCCUGAGCUUGCAGUGGGUACGGGCAGACUAGAGUGCGGUAGGGGAGACUGGAAUUCCUGGUGUAGCGGUGAAAUGCGCAGAUAUCGAGAGGAACACCUGCGGCGAAGGCGGGUAGCUGGGCCGACACUGACGCUGAGGCGCGAAAGCCAGGGGAGCGAACGGG